UCGAUUUUUGGGCUGUCUUAUACAAGGCCUCUAGUAUACAACUUUGCCCCCUCUCAGCCAGUCAUCUUUGCCCCCACUUAUUUCUUUUUCCUGGUUAAACUUUGCAAAGGCCAUAUAUUAUUGACAACCGAGCCCACCCAGGCACAUGGCCUUUCACAUACGAGAAGUCAUUGGCCUGUGCCAUAUAAUCGUAUUUGCACAGAGCACGGACGGACGGAGACCUGAGUCCUAGGCGCAAUUGCCGCCUGGCGGCCAAGCAAAACGCGACGCGCCCUCGCCAGUUCAUCUCCGGUCUUCGGCAAACGCCUUCGAUCUGCGUUGUGCACAACGGACGCCCAGCCGGUUUCCUGAUCUAUGGCCCUCUCAAUUUUAUCUGUGAUGCUCUUCUGCGUGUUACUGAUCAAUCGAGAUAAACCCUAGGGGGAGCUAAAGGAGGGUUUUCCUAUGUUUGUUGUAAAAUCUACAACUCGCAACAUGCUUCGGUUAAUUGAUCUGAACAAGCUUCCUUGGGAUCCAUCUAAAAGUUGCUGGCUAGAAAUUUUAUUCAAGAAGGUUGCGAACAACAAAUUGCCACUUGUCAAGUCAUUGUGUCUUAAAUGAACGGCACUUUCGCCUACUUCAUUGUCUUGUCGCUGAAAGAGCUCUCCAGGUGUCAAAGGCAUUGCCGUUUCAACGGACGCGGAGUCGGAAGAUCAACCCGGCGAAGUACAAGCCACGGCAGCAUUGUGGAAACUCUGCUCGUAGCUCGCCAGUACCCAACCACCUGGCAGGAGCAACAAACGACCAUCUGCUGAUUCAGUCGCGUGCACUGAUUUAGCCAUGGUCCGCUUCACCCGGCCAAGCCAACGAGUUGAUCCAUCGCAGGAAGUCCACCCAUCACUUUCGCUUUUUUCAUCACUGUAUUCUCGAGGACUACACAGGGCAGUCGGAGCACCUGUCAAAGAUCGCGCGAGGUUUCGCGGAAUUUCGCGUCCGGCUCUGUUGGCCGAUCAGGCAGCACAGUGGCGCACCGCUUUCGCGGGUCUGACGACGCAGCAGCGGAGGAAUCGGGCAUGUGCGUCACAACUCAGAACGGACGGACAUGACCGCUCAGGCUCCGUUUUGCAACUGUUCUUGGGUGAAUCCCGUCUGAACCGUUCCGCUCCAGACCUGUAAAUUCUCACCGAACAGUAGCCCGAUCUGCUGUUUCGGCUGCUGCUUUGAGUGCCAAAUACAUCACGGGUACCUCAACUUGUCCAGUGCGGUCACUUUAAUGCCUAAACUUGUAAAAUACACGAAACUGGUGCCGCAACUUGUUCGAGCGUUCAAAUACGGUGCCUCCUUCCGUAUUUGGGCAUAUGCACUGCCCACAGUGCCAACAUGGCAUCAGCCCACAUGUCAAUGGGUGUGAGAGGAGUGUGC